rnacentral:rRNA from 1 species
UAGGGAAUCUUCCACAAUGGACGCAAGUCUGAUGGAGCAACGCCGCGUGAGUGAAGAAGGUCUUCGGAUCGUAAAACUCUGUUGUUAGAGAAGAACACGAGUGAGAGUAACUGUUCAUUCGAUGACGGUAUCUAACCAGCAAGUCGCGGCUAACUACGUACCAG